GCAGGCACAACAGGGCAGCACCUGCCCGUCACAGUUUCACCAGCAGGGAAAUUCACAGGACCCCAACAUACAUAUUUCUAAACCGACGGUCCGAAACAACCUGGACUCACAUUGUGACAUCACAGGGCCACCAAUGGGUGGAUUCUCAAAAGCAAGACAUGAACAGGAACUCAGAGUGGCAUUACUCACAGCUGAGAUCCCAGCAAAUGUAGAUUCUGAAAUACUGUCAGAAAGUAUAAAGGCUGUUCACAUGCAAGACAAGAACUCAUACAGCCAGGCCCUCUGUUACGCCGCCCUGCCCCGGAGCCAGCUGACCAGGGACUGAAGACCUCUACAAGCUGAAAGAGAAAGAGGAAAAUCCUGUUGUCUCAGUGCUGACCACGAGUGGGCACCCUCGAGCUUCGGCAGUGGUUAUCUUUGGCCAGCAUGGGAACCGCUGAUCCAAAAUCUCCUCAGGUCUGGAGGACACCCAACCCCCAGGAGCUGAAGCAGUUCACAUCCGAACUACUGAAGGCAGCAGGAAAUGAAUGGUCAGAGGCCAGCCCAAGUGGAGGGAAGAUGCCACAGAGCAAAAAUAAAGAGCAAAGCAGAACUGGGCACUGCGAGACAGGUGUAUCUGCCACUCCCAUUCCCCUCUCUAGUUCAGGGCCACCAAAAUUUUACCCCUCCUUUGGCUAAGCAAGCCCUCACUUAUCCUCUUUCUCUUUCUCCUCCUUCUCUUCCCUCUCUCCUUUUGCCUUGACGGCAGCUCCUUUGUCACCCUCCACACCUUAGGAUAAGGUCUAUGAGCCACUGCAACUGCCCAGCCAGGCUCUGAGGUACCGUGCAAGGCUUAGCUGCCAGGGGAACACUCAGCACAG